rnacentral:rRNA from 1 species
UUGAACGCUGGCGGCAGGCCUAACACCUGCAAGUCGAACGGUAACAGGGAUCAGCUUGCUGAUUCGCUGACGAGUGGCGGACGGGUGAGUAAUGUCUGGGAAACUGCCUGAUGGAGGGGGAUAACUACUGGAAACGGUAGCUAAUACCGCAUAACGUCGCAAGACCAAAGAGGGGGACCUUCGGGCCUCUUGCCAUCGGAUGUGCCCAGAUGGGAUUAGCUAGUAGGUGGGGUAACGACUCACCUAGGCGACGAUCCCUAGCUGGUCUGAGAGGAUGACCAGCCACACUGGAACUGAGACACGGUCCAGACUCCUACGGGAGGCAGCAGUGGGGAAUAUUGCACAAUGGGCGCAAGCCUGAUGCAGCCAUGCCGCGUGUAUGAAGAAGGCCUUCGGGUUGUAAAGUACUUUCAGCGGGGAGGAAGGGAGUAAAGUUAAUACCUUGGCUCAUUGACGUUACCCGCAGAAGAAGCACCGGCUAACUCCGUG